rnacentral:rRNA from 1 species
UACGAAGGGGGCUAGCGUUGUUCGGAUUUACUGGGCGUAAAGGGCGCGUAGGCGGUGCAAUCAGUCAGGCGUGAAAGCCCCGGGCUCAACCCGGGAAUUGCGCUUGAUACUGUUGCGCUUGAAUCCAGGAGAGGAUGGCGGAAUUCCCAGUGUAGAGGUGAAAUUCGUAGAUAUUGGGAAGAACACCAGUGGCGAAGGCGGCCAUCUGGCCUGGAAUUGACGCUGAGGCGCGAAAGCGUGGGGAGCAAACAGG